rnacentral:rRNA from 1 species
CGAACGCUGGCGGCAGGCCUAACACAUGCAAGUCGAACGCAUGCCUUCGGGCAUGAGUGGCGCACGGGUGAGUAACGCGUGGGGACCGACCCUGGGGUUGGGGAUAACCGCUGGAAACGGCGGCUAAUACCCGAUACGCCUUGAGGGGGAAAGAUUUAUCGCCCUGGGACGGGCCCGCGUUGGAUUAGGUAGUUGGUGGGGUAACGGCCUACCAAGCCUACGAUCCAUAGCUGGUUUGAGAGGAUGAUCAGCCACACUGGGACUGAGACACGGCCCAGACUCCUACGGGAGGCAGCAGUGGGGAAUAUUGGACAAUGGGGGCAACCCUGAUCCAGCCAUGCCGCGUGAGUGAAGAAGGCCUUAGGGUUGUAAAGCUCUUUCAGUGGUGAAGAUGAUGACGGUAGCCACAGAAGAAGCCCCGGCUAACUCCGUGCCAGCAGCCCGCGGUAAUACGGAGGGGGCAAGCGUUGUUCGGAAUUACUGGGCGUAAAGGGCGCGUAGGCGGAUAUUCAAGUCAGAGGUGAAAGGCCCCGGGGCUCAACCUGGGGAAUUGCCUUUGAAACUGGGAUGUCUGGAGUUCGG